rnacentral:rRNA from 1 species
AAUGAACGCUGGCGGCAUGCCUAACACAUGCAAGUCGAGCGAAGGCUUCGGCCUUAGUGGCGCACGGGUGCGUAACGCGUGGGAAUCUGCCCUUGGGUUCGGAAUAACAGUUAGAAAUGACUGCUAAUACCGGAUGAUGUCGUAAGACCAAAGAUUUAUCGCCCAAGGAUGAGCCCGCGUAGGAUUAGCUAGUUGGUGGGGUAAAGGCCUACCAAGGCGACGAUCCUUAGCUGGUCUGAGAGGAUGAUCAGCCACACUGGGACUGAGACACGGCCCAGACUCCUACGGGAGGCAGCAGUGGGGAAUAUUGGACAAUGGGCGAAAGCCUGAUCCAGCAAUGCCGCGUGAGUGAUGAAGGCCUUAGGGUUGUAAAGCUCUUUUACCCGGGAUGAUAAUGACAGUACCGGGAGAAUAAGCUCCGGCUAACUUCGUG